GUGGGUGUUUGCUUUUGUCAUCCUUGGCGCCGCUUUCCAACCGCUCCGAAAUGAAAACAUUUCUAUACCCACCAGGGCCUAUUUUUCAUCACCUCAGAGCAGCAUGGACCAAGAAUAACUUUGCUGAGAGCCAGAAAAUCCACACAGAGGCUUGAGGCAGCCUGGCAGAUACCCCCUGUUUGCCACGAGCAGAAAAACAUCUCAGGGCCAGCCCCAUCCUGAUGAACAUCCCUCCCACACUGGGGAGAAUUCAGCAUGGGUGGCACAUGUGGUCCUUUCUGCCAAAGAGAAAACUCUGCCAAAAUCCCAUCCCUUCAAGCAGAAAGAUCCAGCCUGGAGGAAUCCAACGUGCCUGGAGAAUUGCUGGGGGAAACCACAACAACAAACCUGCAGAGAGAAUGGAGCUGGCAAAGGCAAGAACACCAGCGUGGCUGCCAUCCUUCCCACUGCCCUGCAGAAAAGCCUUUCCUACCUUAUCAAACAUUAUCAAACAUUAUCACCUUGCUUGGAGCACCAUUUCAAGAAGCAACAUCCUGGUUGCAAAUCACCUUCUUCAUUUUGAUACUUGCUGGAGCAAAACCAUCCAAGUUACAGCUCAGGUUUGGAGAGGGGAGGAAGCGUUUGCAACUGGUGAGCUGGUGGGGGAAAAGAAUGAGUUUUCAAGUUGCCUGAGAACAGCUGCACGCUUUAAAGGUCAAGAAUUUGUGUGGGUAACAGGUACAGCUCAUCAGCCAUCUUCUGGAGAUGGAAGCAGAUGAAAGGAAUGAGAGAAGCUCUCAGAACCAUGAGGUCACUGCUGGCAGCAGCGGCAGCCACCCCGUGCAGCAGAGAUCCCCCUUUGUUCUGCGCCCAAGUCAGAGGGGAUGGAUGCACCAGGCUCUGGAGCAGCCUGCAGAGCACAGGCAGAGCGUGGGUGCUUUCUUUUUCUGCCAGGGACAAUCCAAGCAAAACUCAACCUCCUUCUUCCUUCAGCUGAAAGAAAGCAUCAACAAGAAGACAGAAAUUCUGGCCUGAAAAGCAGCCAAGCACUGCUGAGUGCUGGCCCGUGGUCCUUGCACAGGGGGAUAAUGAGAAUUACUGAAGUGCCUUUGAAAAGCGCCUUGAGAUUGUGCCAUCUUGUGUCCUCCUGGAACACUGGGAUGGAGGAACCAGUGUUCCUGGUUCCUGGCCAGCCUUGGAGCAGGGCCAGCCUCCCAUGCUGCACUCUCUGCUGGCUGGGCACUUUGAACCAUUGCAGGGCAGCCCCAGGACUUCUGCUCACCCUCAGCCCCUCUGGCAAAUGGAGGGAGCCAGGCUGCUUUGGGGGUGUAGGAACAGAGAGAUGCAGCAUUGGAGGUCCCCCCAUCUCAUAAAGGCAUCCUCAAAAUGAACCCUGCUAAGAAAAAUAAAUGUUCGCACCCCCUGUGCUCCUGACA
rnacentral:lncRNA from 1 species